rnacentral:rRNA from 1 species
GAUGAACGCUAGCGGCAGGCUUAACACAUGCAAGUCGAGGGGUAUUGGUUUUCGGACCAAGAGACCGGCGCACGGGUGCGUAACGCGUAUGCAAUCUACCUUUUGCAGAGGGAUAGCCCAGAGAAAUUUGGAUUAAUACCUCAUAGUAUAGUACUUUGGCAUCAAGGAACUAUUAAAGUCACAACGGCAAAAGAUGAGCAUGCGUCCAUUAGCUAGUUGGUAAGGUAACGGCUUACCAAGGCUACGAUGGGUAGGGGUCCUGAGAGGGAGAUCCCCCACACUGGUACUGAGACACGGACCAGACUCCUACGGGAGGCAGCAGUGAGGAAUAUUGGACAAUGGGCGCAAGCCUGAUCCAGCCAUGCCGCGUGCAGGAUGACGGUCCUAUGGAUUGUAAACUGCUUUUAUACAGGAAGAAACACUCCGACGUGUCGGAGCUUGACGGUACUGUAAGAAUAAGGAUCGGCUAACUCCGUGCCAGCAGCCGCGGUAA